UGCCUACGGGGGGCUGCAGUGGGGAAUUUUGCGCAAUGGGGGAAACCCUGACGCAGCAACGCCGCGUGAGUGAUGAAGGCCUUCGGGUCGUAAAGCUCUGUCAGAGGGAAAGAAAUGCGGGAGGGAUAAUACCCCUUUUGCUUGACGGUACCCUCAAAGGAAGCACCGGCUAACUCCGUGCCAGCAGCCGCGGUAAUACGGAGGGUGCGAGCGUUGUUCGGAAUUAUUGGGCGUAAAGCGCGUGUAGGCGGUUUUUUAAGUCUGAUGUGAAAGCCCCGGGCUCAACCUGGGAAGUGCAUUGGAAACUGGGAGACUUGAAUACGGGAGAGGGUAGUGGAAUUCCUAGUGUAGGAGUGAAAUCCGUAGAUAUUAGGAGGAACACCGGUGGCGAAGGCGGCUACCUGGACCGAUAUUGACGCUGAGACGCGAAAGCGUGGGGAGCAAACAGGAUUAGAUACCCCAGUAGUC
rnacentral:rRNA from 1 species